AUAAAUGCUUGUGAGUAAUUCCUUUGGGAUGAAAUAAUAUAUGUAACGAAGGAAUUCAUGACCCUGCUAUAUAAUACAUAUUUUAUAUAACUAAAAUAAUUAUUCUUUCUAUCUGAUCGGACGCUUCUUGCAUGGCUAAAUAUAUUAGUCUAUUUAGUUUCAUGAUCAGUGAUAGCGAGCAUCCAAUGACUAAUAAUAAAUGAUGCAAGAAUAAUAUUCCAAAAGAAAGGAGGUA
rnacentral:sRNA from 12 species